rnacentral:rRNA from 1 species
GAUGAACGCUGGCGGCGUGCCUAAUACAUGCAAGUCGAGCGAACGGACGAGAAGCUUGCUUUUCUGAUGUUAGCGGCGGACGGGUGAGUAACACGUGGAUAACCUACCUAUAAGACUGGGAUAACUUCGGGAAACCGGAGCUAAUACCGGAUAAUAUUUUGAACCGCAUGGUUCAAAAGUGAAAGACGGUCUUGCUGUCACUUAUAGAUGGAUCCGCGCUGCAUUAGCUAGUUGGUACGGUAACGGCUUACCAAGGCAACGAUGCAUAGCCGACCUGAGAGGGUGAUCAGCCACACUGGAACUGAGACACGGUCCAGACUCCUACGGGAGGCAGCAGUAGGGAAUCUUCCGCAAUGGGCGAAAGCCUGACGGAGCAACGCCGCGUGAGUGAUGAAGGUCUUCGGAUCGUAAAACUCUGUUAGUAGGGAAGAACAUAUGUGUAAGUAACUGUGCACAUCUUGACGGUACCUAAUCAGAAAGCCACGGCUAACUACGUG